UACGUAGGGUGCAAGCGUUAAUCGGAAUUACUGGGUGUAAAGCGUGCGCAGGCGGCUUUGCAAGACAGAUGUGAAAUCCCCGGGCUCAACCUGGGAACUGCAUUUGUGACUGCAAGGCUAGAGUACGGUAGAGGGGGAUGGAAUUCCGCGUGUAGCAGUGAAAUGCGUAGAUAUGCGGAGGAACACCGAUGGCGAAGGCAAUCCCCUGGACCUGUACUGACGCUCAUGCACGAAAGCGUGGGGAGCAAACAGG
rnacentral:rRNA from 1 species